ensembl:snRNA U6 U6 spliceosomal RNA
GUGCUCACUUCAGCAGCACAUGUUCUAAAAACUGGAACAAUACAUAGGAUUGGCCCCUACACAAGGAUGACAUGCAAAUACAUGAAGCAUUCCAAAAAACA